UUCAUGAUCCUGCUUGCUCUGUCUCCCAGGUGGUGAGGUUUGAGAUGAGUGCCAUCAAGACAGACUUAUUUUCUGUUUCAACUACAGAAUAUCUUCAGACACUGUGAAAUAUGCCCUAGGAACAAAUCUGCCACUUGUGAAGAAAUACCGAUCUAGAGAACACUGUGGUCUCUUAGGAUCCCACUAAUAAUUGUCACCAUGAUGAAAUGACAUGACCAAGCAGCUCAGCCAACUGGAACAGUGGCUCACACCCACAACCUCAACACUUGAGAGACUGAGGCAGGAGGACUGAUGCAAGUUCAAAGCCAACCCUGGAACACAGAAGAUUAAAACAAGCAAAAACUUCAGAACAAUGAUCCAUUCUCAGUCAGACUUUGCUCUUCAUCAUAGACAAUGUGAAAAUAUGUUCAACUAAGAAUAGCUUGAGCUUUAUAGCUAGCUGGCUUGUCUUGUGAUCCUGUGGACCGGUGAGCUACUUAAAGGUGUGAAUGGGUACCUUGAGAUGGGACUGACUUCAGCUGGAUCACUGCCCACUGAGCCCAAGUGACAUGCUUUUGAAAGCACAAUCAACAAUAUUUGGUGUUGUUGACUACUGAAGAUGAAUUCGAAUAGGAGUUUCAAAGACUGCCAGGCCCAUGAGAAUGAGAAGAGGCAAUAGGCAGAAGACACUAGAGGUUUUAAAUGUAGAAAUAUUGUAUGAGAUCAGCCCCUCGUGGCCACCGUCAGUACUACAAUUGUCCAGCUUUGGGGUUGAAGCCUUUUGGGUUGACACCUGACACUUCCUUUUUACAUCAGAUGGUGACUGUUUGGAACACAAGCUGACUCCAGACAACAGACAUGGAGUAUUCUAUAUUUAUACAUAGAUAUGGAGUAUUGGAGUUUUUAGAAGGCUGUAUGGCAGAGCGCCUAUCUGCUUCUCUAAAAUAAGCUGUAUCUCUUCACUUGCUUGCCAUCAUUUGCAAAGGAAACAGUCCAGAAACUUCUUUGCCUUUUCCUUUUGAGACAGGGUCUCCUUGUUAGCUUGGCCUCAUCUUGAACUCACCAUGUAGCUCAAGCUGGCUUAGAAUUUUCAGCAAUCCUGUCUCAGCCCAAGUACUGGAAUUACAAAUAUGAAUCACAAUGCACCCACUAUUCACAGAAACUCCAUAAUGCAAAAGGAAUACCCCAUAUAACUCUGUUCUUCCCACCCUCUCCAAUGUCCAUUUGGUUUCUUUAGAAUUCCAUUCAGGGAGCUGGAGAGAUGGCUCAGUGGUUAAGAACACUGGCUGUUCUUCCAGAGGUCCCGAGUUCAAUUCCCAGCAACCACCUGGUGGCUCACAACCAUCUGCAAUGGGAUCUGAUGCCCUCUUCUGGUGUGUCUGAAGAUAGUGACAAUGUACUCACAUAAAAUAAAUAAAUAAUU